GAUGAACGCUAGCGGCGGGCCUAAUACAUGCAAGUCGAACGGUGCAGCAAUGCAUAGUGGCAGACGGUGCGUAACGCGUAUGCAACCUACCUUUUAUCGGGGGACAACAUUUCGAAAGAAGUGCUAAUACCGCGUAAGAUAGUAGUGGGACAUCCCACAGCUAUUAAACUUUCGGGGAUAGAAGAUGGGCAUGCGUCUGAUUAGCUAGUUGGCGGGGUAACGGCCCACCAAGGCGACGAUCAGUAGGGGAACUGAGAGGUUGAUCCCCACACUGGCACUGAGAUACGGGCCAGACUCCUAC
rnacentral:rRNA from 1 species